GACGGAGGAUGCAAGCGUUAUCCGGAAUGAUUGGGCGUAAAGCGUCCGCAGGUGGCAAUUCAAGUCUGCUGUUAAAGCGCAGGGCUUAACUCUGUAAAGGCAGUGGAAACUGAAUAGCUAGAGUGUGGUAGGGGCAGAGGGAAUUCCCAGUGUAGCGGUGAAAUGCGUAGAGAUCGGGAAGAACAUCGGUGGCGAAAGCGCUCUGCUGGACUGCAACUGACACUCAGGGACGAAAGCUAGGGGAGCGAAUGGG
rnacentral:rRNA from 1 species